rnacentral:rRNA from 1 species
UACGGGGGGGGCAAGCGUUGUUCGGAAUUACUGGGCGUAAAGGGCGCGUAGGCGGUGCUCUAAGUCGGAUGUGAAAACUCUGGGCUCAACCCAGAGCGUGCAUCCGAAACUGGAGUGCUAGAGUUCUGGAGGGGGUAGCGGAAUUCCUGGUGUAGCGGUGAAAUGCGUAGAUAUCAGGAGGAACACCGGUGGCGAAGGCGGCUACCUGGACAGAAACUGACGCUGAGGCGCGAAAGCUAGGGGAGCAAACAGG